ensembl:lncRNA
AUUAAACUAGUGUGAAAUAAGAUACAAUGUUAAUGAAAUAUAGUGCAAAAUAUGUUUAUUAUUUAUUGCAUCUCGUUUUAUUGAUUAUACAGCAUUGCAUUUAUUUUAUUUUGGUUAUUUAAAUCUAUUUUAUAGUUGUAUUUAAUAAUUAUUAUUAUUAUUAUUAUUUUUUUUUACCUUGUUUUGAUAAAAUGUUUUCUGUUAUGUUGUCAGAAUUAUUCAAAGAAGGAAGGAAGGCAAAUCAUUUUAUUUAUUUUACCCCUGUACACGCAUGGCUUUCCCCCCCAUCUAUUCUUAUGCUUAUCCUUAUCCUUCCUGGUUUUGGACGAGACGUUCAUAUUUAACUGUAAUGCAAAAUAAAAACGAAUGCAAAAUAAAAGUCCUUGGGAAAAAACAGACACCUGUUUCCCAUUAAACCUUGAUGAUUCUUGAUCAUUGUGGGACGUGUAUGAAUGAACGGAAAAGACGCGAUUGGAUGUCCAUACUUCGUUUUAUCUAUAAAAAUCUUGACUUUGAACAUCCUCCUGUGUGAAGAUCAAUGGAUCAGGUGGAUGUUUGGCACAACCCGACCAAAGAAGCAGGAGAUUUUAAGCAGGUUAGCAACCAUUAACACAUUUAAACCUGAUCUGACAUGUCUGAAGUAAGCAUGUUCUGUAUUUUUUAAUAGUUUUAUUCUUAUUUGUCAUUUAAAUGUUAACUGUAUACUACUGUACAACUUAAAAGUAUGACUAAAGCUAAAAUGUAAGGACUUUGUGGCUUUGUACAACAUAAUUGUUUUAAUGAUGAUCUAAAAAGGCAAGAAGGUUAGGUUUUGGAGUAGGG